rnacentral:SRP_RNA from 14 species
CAGGACCGCCCACGGCGCGCUGGAAGUUGGGUGCUGCUGCUGGGUUGAAAGGCGCUGGCCGUUGCCCUGGAGCGCACGGAACGUAGGGCUGGAUGCUUGGGCCACCGGGCAGCGCCAUCGGCGCCUGUGGCGAGUAGGGUUGGAUGGAGGGACCGCCGCCAGG